rnacentral:lncRNA from 1 species
CUCUGUUGCCUGGCUACAACACAGUGUUGCAAACAUUGCUCACUGCAGCCUCAACCUCCAGGGCUUAAGCAAUCCUUCUACCUCAGCCUCUCCUAUGGCUGGGACUGCAGAACCACCAUGCUCUGAAAAAUCCAAAUAAACUGGAGAAAGAGCCAUAUGAGAAGAGCAAAGUCAUGCUGUCCAGUCUCAGCAGACCCCCAGGCUACAGCCAGCAACAAGUGCCAGCCAUGUCAUCCAGAUGUCUUGAAUGUUUCAGCCUCAAUCCUUCAAGUGAACACAGUUCCAGAAAACAGUACAUGAAGAAGAAAGACUAUGCAGCUGUUCUAAGUCAAUCUAAAAAUAAUACCAUAAAGUGACACUUCGGUUUUCAGCCACUAAGUUUUGAGUUAUUUGGUAUGCAGCAAAAACAGAUAAUAGAAAUACAUACAAUUUUCUAAAUAUUCUUCUAUUUUUCUCCAUAGAAUAUUUUUAUAGUCAUGUUAAAUAAUGCAGGGAGCAUGCAAUACUUAAGCAAUUGUUAAAUAAUACAAGUUUUAAUAUAAAUUAAGACAUGAAGUUGAAAAGAGUACAAGCAAGUUUCAAUCCCAAGCCAAGAACAUAAAAACUUCAUCAUGUCUUAUUUCAGGAGUCUAUUGUUACAUGGUAUGAAUAGAGCUAGGAAGAAAUUCAUGAACUAAAAUAUAUAAUCUUGGCAAAAUAUAACACUAAAAUACUAAAAACUAUCAACAAUAUCCUACGGACCGGGCAGAAUUGAACUAGUAAACCUCAAAUACCAGUUAAAAUGUGAACCUGUAGUAUUUAAAUUAUGUCGUUGGACUAUUUCUAAAAAGAUACUAAUAGCAAUCAUUUAUCAAGCAUUUAUAUGAAUUACUGCAGGAGCUCCAUGCACACUCCUUAAGAAAAAAUGAAGAUUUACCAAAUAUGCAAUAUUGUAUUGUACAGUGUAACCCUGUGCUAUUGUCUUCCUCUCUACUGAACGAUCUAAAAUUGUUAUGAUGUGUACACAUUUUACAUUUAUAACAUUCAUUGACAUUUAGUCUAAUUAAUUAUUAGUUCAGCAUGCAUAGUCUAUUUGUAUUAGUCAUGUCCAUAUUUGCAACUCAAAACACAGAAUUAACUUUUCGAAGGCUACGUAGGAGAUGGGAUUCUUUAUUUGGGGGAUGAGGGAAAAAUAUUCUAUAUUUAUCAUAUGCUUUGAAAUGUUUCCAAUGCCUUUAUUUGACUGAUAGAGAUUCUUGUGUGUGUGUGUGUAUUUAUAUCUGUGUGUGAUCAAAAUGUAUGGAGUCAUAAAAAAAAUCCACUACUUAGUUUCAAAUAUUUGAAUGAUCUUUGAAAUUCAUUUAGAAUAAGUUACAUAAUUAAAGCUGCCUUAAUUUUUUUAAACCAAAUAGCCCUUUAUAGAGUUUGCACUGAGAGCUUCUUUGCUUUUCUCUAUUCUUCCUGUAAUGUUCUUGUGAUUAAUUCAAAACCCAUAUGUACUCUCUCAAAUUGUUACAGGUAGUUAGAUAGGCAUGCGUGGGGCAGGAGAGGGCUUUUCC